UUUAAAACAAAAUUUUUUCUCUGUUAUUUGUAUUGGAACCAAAACUUUACUUUCACUUGAAGAAUCCCUCAAACUCCAAAAUUUCCCUAAUUUCCAUUUUCACUUCCCCCCAUCAUUUCCCUCUCAAAUAAAAUUUCCCUAAUUCGAUUUUGACAAAACCCUAACUGCAAUUUCAUUUCCGCAAAGAAGACCUAAUUCCAUUUCACAUUCGCUCUUAAGCAAAACCCUAAUUUCAUUUUUGUGUUCUUCUAGUAUUUCUGUUGUUCGUUUUUGCUCCCGAAUUUUUCUUGAUCUAUCGUUCAUCUGGGUUACUUUCGUUCGUCUAGGUUGCUUUCUUUCGUUCAUUUGGGUUCCUCUUGUUCCAUCUAAUUCUUGUGUACCUUGCGUUCCUCUAAUCAGUUCAAUCUUUUGUUGCUACUCUUAAUUCACAUUCACUCCUAAUUUCAUCACCACCUAAUACCCAUUUUCCACACACAAUGACACUAUUGGGCUCAGUCUUUCAAACAAGGAUUGCUUCAUAUGUUGAUUUGUCAUCUCAGGAUAAAGAGGAUGGAUAUUAGCUUAAUAGGAAUUUCAGGGGAAACCAACUUUCAGAUAGUUUACUUAGAGAAAGUCAACUAUUAGGACCAUGAUGGAAGCUGCUCCAAUAAAAGUUUUUUUUUUUUGCUAAACUAGUCAAGCUUCUCUUCUCGUGUCUUCACUAGUAGUUCUUCAUAGGGGUGGCAGGGGUAGUACAAGCUUGUUCAUGCUAUGUUAAUAGUCCUUGUAGAAUGAGGUGAAGAGCACCUGUAACUAUUUUUCAGAUUGCUUUUCUACUGGUACCAUAGAAUUAGGAGUGCUGAUUGGAAAAGGUGACUAUUUUGGAAAUGUAUUAAAAACUACACCUCUCUUAUGUUUCAGCCAAGAAGAUGCAGAUAUAUUAAUACCGGUCUUGGUUCAGGUUGGAAUUAGGUGGCUGCAAUUAUUUAAUUAUGGUAUUGGUGAGCUUAGAAAGUAAGGAUUUGUUGGGCUGUUGCUCGAGGACAUUAUUCAAGACUAUUAAAUGAAAUCAUAUUUAUAGUUAGUGGGAUUUAAGCAUUCUGGUUUCAUGAUAUGGCAUUUGUGUAGUCUAUGUAAUUCCAUUUGUACUUUCUUAUCUGUUGUAUCAUUUCAUAUAGGUUGUAGUUUUUUUGUUAAGAUCGUUGAAUCUUGAUUUAGGUGUAGUUCUUCAUAUUGUAAUUUUGGCACUUCAAAA